rnacentral:rRNA from 1 species
ACGUACACUCCUGCGGGAGGCAGCAGUGGGGAAUAUUGCACAAUGGGCGCAAGCCUGAUGCAGCCAUGCCGCGUGUAUGAAGAAGGCCUUCGGGUUGUAAAGUACUUUCAGCGGGGAGGAAGGCAAUACGGUUAAUAACCGUGUUGAUUGACGUUACCCGCAGAAGAAGCACCGGCUAACUCCGUGCCAGCAGCCGCGGUAAUACGGAGGGUGCAAGCGUUAAUCGGAAUUACUGGGCGUAAAGCGCACGCAGGCGGUCUGUCAAGUCGGAUGUGAAAUCCCCGGGCUCAACCUGGGAACUGCAUUCGAAACUGGCAGGCUUGAGUCUUGUAGAGGGGGGUAGAAUUCCAGGUGUAGCGGUGAAAUGCGUAGAGAUCUGGAGGAAUACCGGUGGCGAAGGCGGCCCCCUGGACAAAGACUGACGCUCAGGUGCGAAAGCGUGGGGAGCAAACAGGAUUAGAAACCCCUGUAGUCCCAUGAU